CAAAGAUAAUUUAAUUGUGAUUCCGUUCGUUUUCCUUGUUCUGUUUUUGCUCGAAGACGACCGGCAGGAUUGACAAAAACAGUAGGAAAUCCUUUGAAUCCCGUACCUGACUAGCAGAUUAAUCACUCGAGUCAAUUUUCGGUGCUUUUCAGCGGCUCACGGACAGAUUUUUCAACCACAAAUUGUUGACUGGAACCAGAACAAAAUGUGUCUCAUCGCUUUUCAAUUUAAAGAAUUUGGCUGCCAGAAAGUGAACUACCAUAAACUGGCCGGAAGUACAUUGUGGGAAAAUUCAUUUUCGGAAGUCGCCCAAAAACAUUGCAUUAGCAGGUUCUGUGAAAUGCAUUUUGCUGCAGUAACGGUUAUCAAACCCUGGAUCACGAGACCAAUUAAAAGCCGAGCAUGGCCCGGGAGCUGAAUCAAGCGAUGUUUCUACGCUUUCCGAAUCAGAGCCGGAUAGUAGAUUAAAACGAGAGAGUGAUAGAGGGAUGCCGGACGAAAAAAAUAUUUAAAAAAUAUAUUUGUCGUUUUGGAUUUCA